rnacentral:lncRNA from 1 species
AGGAGUGCAGAUUAUAGAGAGAAGAGAUCUGAGGGCUAUGCUUGGAGUAGACUGCCUACAUUUAGAGAUCAGGGAGACAUGUAAGAAACAACAAAAGAGAUAAGAGGAAAUAGGCAGAAAAGUAGGAGGAAAAGCAGGCAUAUGUGGAGUUCCACCAGCCAAGCAAAGAAAGUUUUCCAAGGAGGAGGGAAUAAUCUGUUCUGUCAAGUGCUACUGAGAUGCAAGGAUGGAGCUUCCAGGAUAGAGCUUCUUUUUUCCUCAUGGCCUUGACCACCUAGAAUGCCACUAGAAUGGAGGAGGUGUUGAAACUUCAAAUGCUACAGAGGCCAGAGAGGCAUGAGUUAAUGGG